AGAGAGGUGGCCGAGUGGUCGAAGGCGCACGCUUGGAAAGCGUGUAUACACCACAAGUGUAUCGAGGGUUCGAAUCCCUUCCUCUCUG
rnacentral:tRNA from 1 species